CUUCAGUUUUUUUUUGGUUAAUAUCUUUAUUUUGAACCAUAAAUUAUUUGUUAAUUGAUGUCCUAUUUAUUCAGAGAGGUGUACCUAACAAGGGAUCCAGGCAAGAAUCCAUCUUGUCUGUUCAAGACAUCAACAUUCAGUCACAUGUUUUGAUCAGCCUGAAAGAUUCAAACAAGGAUGACAGGGAAAGGAUUAUUGUUCGCAGAUUCAAAUUUGAAGAAUUGAGAAUAGAGGAAAUUCAAGAUCUUGAGAAUGAUGUCAUGAAAUACUUUCGAGAGGAUCUUCAUCGGAGGCUCUUAAGUGCUGACUUCAAAGAUCAAGUUAAUGGCAUUGAGAUGUUGCAGAAGGUACUUGAAAUUAUUCCCGAGCUUCUGGAUAUGUUGAGAAAUGAGGGUUACACUAUGACAGAAGUAGAGGAAACCAUCUUUCUUCCUGGCUUGGUUGAG